rnacentral:tRNA from 1 species
GAAAAAGUAUGCAAGAACUGCUAAUUCAUGCUUCCGUGCCUAAAAACACGGCUUUUUCA